UGGGGUAUAGCCAAGUGGUAAAGGCAACGGGUUUUGAUCCCGUUAUCCUAGGUUCGAAUCCUAGUGCCCCAG
rnacentral:tRNA from 1 species